rnacentral:snRNA from 11 species
UUCUUUAUCUGGUAGGAAGAUACCAUGAUCAGGAAGGUUUUCUCAAGGUGAGCUUCCUCCAUUGCCCUUGGGAUGUGCUGAUCCUUGCAGUUUCCCCCAAAUGUGGGAAACUUAACUGCCUAAUCUUUGGUCAU